CCUCUUGAUGAAGAGGAACUCAUCCAGUACAUCAUCACCGGCCUUGGUGAAGGCUAUAGCGAGGUGGUGUCAGCCGUGUGUGCUCGAUCUGAGCCACUCACGGUAGCAGAUCUGUACUCCCAGGUGCUGAAUUUUGAGG
rfam:Oryza nivara chromosome 12, whole genome shotgun sequence.